rnacentral:rRNA from 1 species
AGAACGAACGCUGGCGGCAUGCCUAAUACAUGCAAGUCGAACGAACUCUUCGGAGUUAGUGGCGCACGGGUGCGUAACGCGUGGGAAUCUGCCCCUUGGUUCGGAAUAACAGUUGGAAACGACUGCUAAUACCGGAUGAUGACGAAAGUCCAAAGAUUUAUCGCCAAGGGAUGAGCCCGCGUAGGAUUAGCUAGUGGUGAGGUAAGGCUCACCAAGGCAACGGAUCCUUAGCUGGUCUGAGAGGAUGAUCAGCCACACUGGGACUGAGACACGGCCCAGACUCCUACGGGAGGCAGCAGUACGGGAAUAGUUGGACAAGUGGGCGAAAGCCUAGGAUCCGAGACAAUCGCCGCGUGAGUGAGUGAA